UGGGGAAUAUUGGACAAUGGGGGCAACCCUGAUCCAGCAAUGCCGUGUGUGUGAAGAAGGUCUUCGGAUUGUAAAGCACUUUCGACGGGGACGAUGAUGACGGUACCCGUAGAAGAAGCCCCGGCUAACUUCGUGCCAGCAGCCGCGGUAAUACGAAGGGGGCUAGCGUUGCUCGGAAUGACUGGGCGUAAAGGGCGUGUAGGCGGUUUACACAGUCAGAUGUGAAAUCCCCGGGCUUAACCUGGGAGCUGCAUUUGAUACGUGUAGACUAGAGUGUGAGAGAGGGUUGUGGAAUUCCCAGUGUAGAGGUGAAAUUCGUAGAUAUUGGGAAGAACACCGGUGGCGAAGGCGGCAACCUGGCUCAUGACUGACGCUGAGGCGCGAAAGCGUGGGGAGCAAACAGGAUUAGAUACCCUGGUAGUCCACGCUGUAAACGAUGUGUG
rnacentral:rRNA from 1 species